rnacentral:rRNA from 1 species
GGCGAGUGAGCGGCAAAAGCUCAAAUUUGAAAUCUGGUACCUUCGGUGCCCGAGUUGUAAUUUGGAGAGGGCAACUUUGGGGCCGUUCCUUGUCUAUGUUCCUUGGAACAGGACGUCAUAGAGGGUGAGAAUCCCGUGUGGCGAGGAGUGCGGUUCUUUGUAGAGUGCCUUCGAAGAGUCGAGUUGUUUGGGAAUGCAGCUCUAAGUGGGUGGUAAAUUCCAUCUAAAGCUAAAUAUUGGCGAGAGACCGAUAGCGAACAAGUACAGUGAUGGAAAGAUGAAAAGAACUUUGAAAAGAGAGUGAAAAAGUACGUGAAAUUGUUGAAAGGGAAGGGCAUUUGAUCAGACAUGGUGUUUUGUGCCCUCUGCUCCUUGUGGGUAGGGGAAUCUCGCAUUUCACUGGGCCAGCAUCAGUUUUGGUGGCAGGAUAAAUCCAUAGGAAUGUAGCUUGCCUCGGUAAGUAUUAUAGCCUGUGGGAAUACUGCCAGCUGGGACUGAGGACUGCGACGUAAGUCAAGGAUGCUGGCAUAAUGGUUAUAUG